GGGGAUUUAGCUCAGUGGCAUAAGCACCUGCCUUGCAAGCAGGUGGUCGUGAGUUCAAUUCCUG
rnacentral:tRNA from 1 species